GAUGAACGCUAGCGGCAGGCUUAACACAUGCAAGUCGAGGGGUAUAGUAGCAAUACUAGAGACCGGCGCACGGGUGCGUAACGCGUAUGCAAUCUACCUUUCACAGAGGGAUAGCCCAGAGAAAUUUGGAUUAAUACCUCAUAGUAUAUAGACCUGGCAUCAGGAUUAUAUUAAAGUCACAACGGUGAAAGAUGAGCAUGCGUCCCAUUAGCUAGUUGGUAUGGUAACGGCAUACCAAGGCUACGAUGGGUAGGGGUCCUGAGAGGGAGAUCCCCCACACUGGUACUGAGACACGGACCAGACUCCUACGGGAGGCAGCAGUGAGGAAUAUUGGACAAUGGGCGCAAGCCUGAUCCAGCCAUGCCGCGUGCAGGAUGACGGUCCU
rnacentral:rRNA from 1 species